GGCUGUUGGCGCCUCCCCAGGGUCCUCUUUGUGCCCUCUCUGGUUUAGGCUUGAGCUCCGGGUAAUGGAGAAGGAUCCUGCGUCUGCUAAAGCAGCAGCAACACUGUGGAGCCCGCGUCUGAAGUUAGAGCAUUCGAUUAAGGUGAAGCAAGAAAUUAAACUGGGCUUCUCAAGGAGGGUGAAAAACCAGCACCAGAAAUGGGAGAUCACAGGAGAACACGAGCAGG